rnacentral:rRNA from 1 species
AUUGAACGCUGGCGGCAGGCCUAACACAUGCAAGUCGAGCGGAGCGGCGGACGGGUGCGUAAUGCCUAGGAAUCUGCCUGGUAGUGGGGGAUAACGUCCGGAAACGGGCGCUAAUACCGCAUCCUAUCACAUGAGCCUAGGUCGGAUUAGCUAGUUGGUGGGGUAAAGGCUCACCAAGGCGACGAUCCGUAGCUGGUCUGAGAGGAUGAUCAGUCACACUGGAACUGAGACACGGUCCAGACUCCUACGGGAGGCAGCAGUGGGGAAUAUUGGACAAUGGGCGAAAGCCUGAUCCAGCCAUGCCGCGUGUGUGAAGAAGGUCUUCGGAUUGUAAAGCACUUUAAGUUGGGAGGCGUUACCAACAGAAUAAGCACCGGCUAACUUCGUGCCAGCAGCCGCGGUAAUUC